ACAAGGCAUCAAACAUCAACAAUAGAGAAUUAGGGGAUUCUAAACAUAAUCUGACCGCUUUUGUGAUUUUGUUUAAAAAUCUUAUUUACUUUUCGCAUUGCAACUCGAAACCCCCCUAAUUUACUAGUUUUUAUACAUUACACACAUUUUGUCUUGUUAGAAGAAGUCCCUGCAGAUUCGAUCUUUUUUAUUACUGUGAGACUGUCGGUACACUUGUUG
rnacentral:lncRNA from 1 species